AUUGAACGCUGGCGGAUUGCUUUACACAUGCAAGUCGAACGGCAGCACGGACUUCGGUCUGGUGGCGAGUGGCGAACGGGUGAGUAAUGUAUCGGAACGUGCCCAGUCGUGGGGGAUAACGAAGUGAAAAUUACGCUAAUACCGCAUCCGAUCUAUGGAUGAAAGCGGGGGAUCGCAAGACCUCGCGCGAUUGGAGCGGCCGAUAUGAGAUUAGGUAGUUGGUGGGGUAAAGGCCCACCAAGCCAACGAUCUGUAGCUGGUCUGAGAGGACGACCAGCCACACUGGAACUGAGACACGGUCCAGACUCCUACGGGAGGCAGCAGUGGGGAAUUUUGGACAAUGGGCGAAAGCCUGAUCCAGCCAUUCCGCGUGCAGGAUGAAGGCCCUCGGGUUGUAAACUGCUUUUGUACAGAACGAAAAGGUUUCUACUAAUACUAGGAGCUCAUGACGGUACUGUAAGAAUAAGCACCGGCUAACUACGUGCCAGCCGCCGCCGUAA
rnacentral:rRNA from 1 species